rnacentral:rRNA from 1 species
UACGUAGGUGGCAAGCGUUGUCCGGAUUUACUGGGCGUAAAGAGCGCGCAGGCGGUCGUUCAAGUCGCGUGUGAAAGCCCCCGGCUCAACUGGGGAGGGUCACGCGAUACUGAUCGACUCGAAGGCAGGAGAGGGUAGUGGAAUUCCCGGUGUAGUGGUGAAAUGCGUAGAUAUGGGGGAGGAACACCGGUGGCGAAGGCGGCCACCUGGACGGUAACUGACGGCUGAGACGCGAAAGCGUGGGGAGCAAACAGG